AGAGUGUUCAAGUAGCAAACCAACAUGGCGUGUACUAGGGGCAAACACAGAGGCAGGGCAAAACGGAGCUCAAAUUGAUGUUUUGGAUGACACAAGAAUGCGGGUUCUACAUAUUCCCAAAUCCGAACUUGUAACAUCAGGAAACGGUUAUGAUGGAAGAAAAUAUGAUGCCAGGAAUAGCGACACGAUGAUAAAAUUUAGCAUACAAAAACGACACAGUCAAAUACAACUGUUAACAAUGGUGUUUUAAGACCUGUUGUUAGAUCAUAACAGUCUUAUUUGGAUAGAUAAUUCAUUUAUUUAAUUUUGAACUUUUUACCAAAUUUUUACCAUUUUAUAUAUCAAAUGUAUAAAUGGUAUGUUACAAAAAUAAAUUUGAAUGACUUAGACAAAUUCUGUGAAAUUAGCCAAAUUUAAAUUAAGUAUAUUUUUGUGACAUUUUAAAAUUUGUAGAGGCAUAAAAUGAAAAUAAUUUAUAAUAACAUCAUACAGUUACGAUUAAAAUGUUAAUUUUAUUAUAUUGAAAUAUAGGUGGACUGAAUUCAGGACGAUUUGUUAUAAUGGCAUAAAAAAGUGAUGCAUAAGAAGGUUUGUUCAGUGCACAUGCAUUUCUACCACUGAAAAAGAGCCACAUUGAAAGCAAUAUUAAGUUACAGGGUAUGUGUAUAAAUGAUCUAAUAAUUCCCAAAAGUGACGAAAAAAGAAUAAAUGAAUAUUUAAUGAAUAGAUGUCGGGAUUAAUGAAGCUAUAUCAUUUUAUUUGUAAUACAUGUAGAGACUUACACUAAGCCUUCUUUACACGAGGGAAACAAUCCGUUUAUAUAAAGAAAUUGCUGAGUGAACACCGUUUGUUAAUCCUCAUCCUGUCCAUGUUAUAUCAGUGCAAAGGAAAAGUAAACCAUCUAUGUUAAAUGCUAUGCAUGAUUACACAGUUAUGCAUCUAGCAGACCUGAAAUUGAUCUUUUCGAUUUCCUCAUAUUUCUAGAUAUUUUUCCGUUACUUUGAUGCAUAUGUAUGGGUAGUUGAGAUUGUUCUCUUUCCAACAGUAGCCUUUUCAACAUAUUUCACCUUAUGAAAUUCUUUGGGUUUUGACUUUUUGAAACAAAUCGUUUGUUUGUUGACAAAUUUCACCACAGAAAAUGUCCCCCUUUCACAAGGGCAUUUUCUUAUUAGAUCUUUACAUAGUUUUCUAUUCAGAUUGCAAAGUCAUGUGGCUAUUACGCAUGCGUUUUCCCUCAUUUGAGGUAAAAGGUGCAUAGUUUGCAUGAGGUUCUAGGUCAAUAGCCAACUAAGCCUACCAUAAAGUCUUAGCGGAGUUGUCUCCAGUUUUUCCAAAUAUUUUACCCGGGAUCAUUUUUUUUUCAGCUCAAAUACCUCUUUCUCAGAAAUUGAUAUAUUAUUUUUUUCAGUUCUUGUACUUUGAUGCAGUUAUCUAUACAUAUAUCUAAAAGAGAUAGUUCCUUCUAGAAGUUUGUAUUUUUAGUUCCACUGCUUAAUACAUGCAUAAUUUAUGUAGUAGUUAGGAUUUCAGCUGUCGGCUCAAUAAAAUUUUUUAGAAUUGGCUCCUAAAAGCGAAAACUAAUUUAUGUAGAGAUUUGUUAUAGAUCGUUGUUGAUAGGUAUAUACUAAUUUGUUUUAGCUCGAUUGUGAAGAAAUCUUCAAGCUUAUUGGAACCACUCUCGAGUCCGCUUCCUAGAAAAACUAGUACUGGUGUCAUAUGAGUGGGGCUCGAGCCAACGACCCCUGGAUUGGGCGGCCGACACUUAAUCCACUAGACCACUGCUCCCCUUUUCUUUGUUGAUUAAAGGAACAAACCUACUUCGAUUGUUGUCAUUUUUUGUACUCAAAUAGAAUUUGUUAUGGUAAAAGAAUAUUGUAGAUGUCUAGCUGUUUGAGACUUAUUGACUGUAUGCUUUUCUACAUGCGUUACUUAAGAAAAAUAAAACAA